GAUGAACGCUGGCGGCGUGCCUAAUACAUGCAAGUCGAGCGAACAGAUGAGGAGCUUGCUCCUCUGACGUUAGCGGCGGACGGGUGAGUAACACGUGGAUAACCUACCUAUAAGACUGGGAUAACUUCGGGAAACCGGAGCUAAUACCGGAUAAUAUAUUGAACCGCAUGGUUCAAUAGUGAAAGACGGUUUUGCUGUCACUUAUAGAUGGAUCCGCGCCGCAUUAGCUAGUUGGUAAGGUAACGGCUUACCAAGGCAACGAUGCGUAGCCGACCUGGGAGGGUGGUCGGCCACACUGGAACUGAGACACGGUCCAGACUCCUACGGGAGGCAGCAGUAGGGAAUCUUCCGCAAUGGGCGAAAGCCUGACGGAGCAACGCCGCGUGAGUGAUGAAGGUCUUCGGAUCGUAAAACUCUGUUAUUAGGGAAGAACAAAUGUGUAAGUAACUAUGCACGUCUUGACGGUACCUAAUCAGAAAGCCACGGCUAACUACGUG
rnacentral:rRNA from 1 species